GCCUGAAUCAGAAACAGAAACUUCUAGACUGAUGUGGUUCAGUGGUGCUUACAUAGGCUAUUGUUUACUACAUCUGCACCAACCUUUCAGGAAGCAUUUGGCUUGUACAUUUAGCUCUGUGGCCCACUGAAGAGAAUUUCCUGUGGGCAGUGGGGUGAGGAACCCUGCCUUAAUCUGCUUCUCAGUCAUCUGUGGACCACACCUACACCAGCGCUUCCUUCUGCGCAUCCUAUGGCACCUGUCUACUUCCUGUUUUGGGAAUCCCCACAGAGGCUAGCACAGUGCUGAACUUGUAAAAAUUCUGGAGGUUAGAAGUCCAAGAUCAAGGUGCCAUCAGGAUUGAUUUCUUGUGAGGCCUUUCUUCCUGGCUUGCUGUGUCCUCAGAUGGCUCUUCAUCUGUGUAUGUGCAGAGAGAAAAAGAUUUCUCUGGUGGCCUUCUAAAAAAAAAUCAGUCUUCAGAGGCAAAGUUGGACAUCCCAAAGAUGGCAUAGAUAAACAUGACCAGGAAGAGCAGGAGGCCGAUGUUAAACAACGCAGGAAGGGACAUCAUCAAAGCAAAGAGCAGCGUGCGGAUCCCCUUUGCUCCUUUGAUCAGACGUAGGAUUCGGCCAAUCCUGGCAAGACGGAUCACUCGG
ensembl:lncRNA novel transcript, antisense to SLC38A11 and SCN3A